rnacentral:lncRNA from 1 species
AUGUCUAUUAAAAACCCAGCAGGUGAGAUGUUUAUAAUUACAGCUGCCUUAAACUCCAGAAAAGAACAUUGCCUAGCAGUGAUGACUCCAGAACACUCAGACUGCCUGACAGACAUCUCUCUUUGGAGAAAUCAGAACUCACUGAGCACUGACAAACCAAUUCCUGAUGAAAGGACAAGGGGAAGCUCUCUCCAAACCAAGCCCAUUAUGGAGAUAAUGGAAUCACACAAUCUUCUACCGAACCCAUCUCUGAAAUGUCUCAGGAGUAUGAAGAGAUGCUUCCCUCUCUGAAUGUCUCAUGGUCAGAAGUCCUAAGUUCAAUUUUCUAUUAGGCACUUUUUUCUGUAGCUGGAGAAAGAGCACCUUGAGUAUAUCCUGUGCAUGCUGGUGUUAUACCGUAAAGGCCCUGGCUCUGCCACAAGAGGUUGCUAAAUUCCCCAAGUCGAAAUUCAGUGUGUCCUCUCAUCUUUUAAAAUUAAGUUAUCAUAAAUCCUUUCACUAUAGCUCCCGAAAUUCCUAACGUAUACUUUGCCUCUGUGUGUUUGGAGAGCUUCUCUCACAUUUAGCAGCUGACCUCUGCUGCUGCAGUUUUCCUUCCCUGCCCCUGUCCAGCCCGACCCAAACAUGUGCAGAGCCAUGGCCAUGCUCUGCCCAUGCCAGCACCUCUCCCCUAGAGCUGUGCAUCCACCUCUGCAGCUGCAAGGUGCAGCACAGUGCCUGUGUUAGGAAUGCUUCAGUCUAAAACAAGGCCUAUGUGGAACACAAAAAGUGUAUGAUUCAUGAAAUAAGGAAACAGUAACUCCAUCAUAACAAAUAUAUUUGACCUUUAAAGCAGUAACAACAAACAUUAAAAACACUCAAGCUUUCCUUUGCUGCCAAGUUUAUUUUCCUCAUAAGUUGUGCCCCAUUAUGCUACAAUAAUCCUUCAUUACUCCAGCCCAAUAAUACACAGUCUAUCGUCUACCUAUAGUUGUCUGGUGUCUAUUUAGUUUUAUAGCAAGCAAGCAAUUUGAGAAUAUGGUAAUAAAGCCUCAAUCACAGUAAUGAUGUAUGAUAGGCUGUAAUUUCUGUGUGCUAAUGGUUUACAAACAGUAUCCCAAUGAUGACGGGAAUCUCAUUGAUUCAUUACAUGAGUGCAAUAAUACCAAAAUAACUUACUAUAGAUCACUGUUCACUCAUGCACAUACUGAUAACAACCUCUAUAUAUUUCUAUAUACAGAUAUACAGAAAUAAAAUUAGUAUUAGUCUUUCCACAUAAAAGUUCACACGGCACAAAACAUUUUGUGUUGAGCUCCCUAAAUCAAUGUUUAAAGUUGAAAUUACUGCAUUGAACAGGUUCUUUGAAAAGCAACCCAUUGAUUUUAAUCUGCUUGAAGCAAUCAAUUACUCCCUGUCCUCUUUAUUCCAAACUGUAAUGAAAACUAAACUGCGUUGUCUUGAAAACUAAAUGUGAAGAUGAUCAUAAACAGAAUUUAAACUCCAUGGAUUAUUCAUAUCUACCCAUUUAGAUUUGCCAUUUCCAUUAUGAGUACAUUUGCCAUGAGCAUUUAAUGGACAUCUAAAAGGGAAUUCAUUAAAGCAGGAGCUGUUGGCAGCACUUAUGGGCUUCAGACUGCUUUAUGUUUGCCUUUAAUAGCUCAGUAUUAUAAAAGUGAUAUAUUGUGUUCAUCCCAUUAGUAGUUUGCAGAAAGGUCUGUAAGACAUAACAAAUCCUUCUGAGUAUUGUCAGAACCAAAACUAAAUCACAGGGUAUUUUUUUCAAGCGGCAUAUUAUGACCCCCAACAAGGUACCAUUUUAGGUCAUCUAAAUUUUGAUGAUCUUAGCCAAGUAAGAAUUUAACAGCGCUAGGGCUUCAGACUGCUUUAUGUUUGCCUUUAAUAGCUCAGUAUUAUAAAAGUGAUAUAUUGUGUUCAUCCCAUUAGUAGUUUGCAGAAAGGUCUGUAAGACAUAACAAAUCCUUCUGAGUAUUGUCAGAACCAAAACUAAAUCACAGGGUAUUUUUUUCAAGCGGCAUAUUAUGACCCCCAACAAGGUACCAUUUUAGGUCAUCUAAAUUUUGAUGAUCUUAGCCAAGUAAGAAUUUAACAGUGCUAGAGACAGUUCAGUUCUUUUUCUCAAUGAAGCACAUGAAUUAUUAAUGCACAUAUUUUAAAAAUUCAGAGACAGUUCAGUUCUUUUUCUCAAUGAAGCAUAUGAAUUAUUAAUGCACAUAUUUUAAAAAUUUGUCGUAACUGUUAGGGUUAAGCAUGCUUAAAAAUGAAACAGGUAUUUCUCAAAAAUAUCUUCUCCCCUGUUUUGGGCCAAAGUAGUGU